GGCGGGGCGCCUGUGGGAGCCGUGGAGGGAACUUUCCCAGUCCCCGAGGCGGAUCCGGUGUUGCAUCCUUGGAGCGAGCUGAGAGCUCGAGAACCUGCUAAGGCCAUCAAACCUAUUGAUCGGAAGUCAGUCCAUCAGAUUUGCUCUGGGCCGGUGGUACCGAGUCUAAGCACUGCGGUGAAGGAGUUAGUAGAAAACAGUCUGGAUGCUGGUGCCACUAAUAUUGUAGAGAUAGAGUUUCUCCAUGUUGGUCAGGCUGGUCUCGAACUACUGACCUCAGGUGAUCCGCUCGCUUUGGUCUCCCAAAGUGCUGGGAUUACAGGCAUGAACCACCGCGCCUGGCCCCCGUUCUCCUUACUGGAUCUAAAGCUUAAGGACUAUGGAGUGGAUCUCAUUGAAGUUUCAGGCAAUGGAUGUGGGGUAGAAGAAGAAAACUUCGAAGGCUUAACUCUGAAACAUCACACAUCUAAGAUUCAAGAGUUUGCCGACCUACCUCAGGUUGAAACUUUUGGCUUUCGGGGGGAAGCUCUGAGCUCACUUUGUGCACUGAGGUGAUAAAAUAUUUUUAUCCAUUCACUUGACCCCUUAGAAAAACCUCUCUGAAAAUUAAUUGGAAUCAUUAUUAUUUACAGUUUUCUGUCUCAAUAUCUCAGCUUCCAGCUUCUGAAUUCUGUUUUGUCUCACUGCCAAUCUAAGUCCUAGUACUUCUGAAAUGUGAGCAAUAAAUGAAUGAAAUGAA
rnacentral:lncRNA from 1 species